GAUAAACGCUGGCGGCGUGCUUUAUGCAUGCAAGUCGAACGGCUUUGAUUUAUCAAAGCAGUGGCGAAUGGGUGAGUAACACGUAAGUAACCUGCCCCUAAGUGGAGAAUAACCUCGGGAAACCGGAGUUAAUACUGCAUGUGGUGAUAGAGUUUCGGCUUUAUCACUAAAGCCUUCGGGCGCUUGGGGAUGGGCUUGCGGUCGAUUAGCUAGUUGGUGGGGUAACGGCCCACCAAGGCGACGAUCGAUAGCUGGUCUGAGAGGAUGGUCAGCCACACUGGGACUGAGAUACGGCCCAGACUCCUACGGGAGGCAG
rnacentral:rRNA from 1 species